AAACUUUUGCAAAUGACUGUAAUCAUGUAUAUUUCUAAAGGGAGAAAAAAAUCAGAAAUGAUUUUGUGUCAGUAUUUGCCUUGAUGCUUUGUGAAAUUUUAAGAAUUUUUAAGCCAAGAAGGGCCCAUUUGGAAAGUAACUUCUUGUGAACAUAGGUGUAGAGCCAAAUUUCUUGUAAUCCUUGUUACUCGAAAACCUUUUUCCAAGUAAAGUUAAGAACAGUGUUCCGAGCAAAAUUUCCUCAAUGCCAGUGGCAGGAAAAGUGGGGCACAUGUCGCACUGAGGUUUAAUUCGGCCAAGUUCAGCCUCAUGAAAAAUGUAAUUUUUUUGUAAUAUACAUAAUGAUGAAGCUGAUCUCCUGUAAUCCUUGUAGAAAAUUCAUUUUGAGUGAAAUCAGAGUUAAGUUUUCUGAGACUCUCCCAUGAGUUAGGCCAAAAUGAGUGUUUUGAGCAGUGUAAUAAUCUGCCAAGUUUAUUGAAAAUAAUGUCUCAGUCCCCCUGUGAGAGUAUGGUUUCAAAUGAAUUCAUAUUGGUGUCCUGUGUAGAACCUUACAUUUAGGCCAACUUGAGGUGUAGGAGAAAUGAACUUUUUUGUUGAGUCGAUUCUGUAGACACAGAAGAUUCUUACAGUAGCCUGAUUUGUAAUUUUGCUCAGAUUUCUUUGUGCCUUAAUAGCACGACUUUCUGGAUUGAAACAUCUAAUGCAAAUAAAGUUGUUGCAAAACACUAA